CAAAAGGCAUGUGCAAGAGUUAUUCAUAACAGCACUAUUGAGCAACCCCAAACCGGAAGCCACCCAAACAAAGGUCAACAGUCUAAUGGAUAAAUCCACUGUGGCGUAUUCCUACAGCAGAAUACUACAGGCCAGUGAGAAUGAGCCCCACCUCCCUGCCACACUCAGCCAUGUGGAUGAACUUCACGGAACAGAAGACACUCAGUGCUAUGACCCCACGUGUGAGUCAAGCUUCAUAAAGUUCAUGAACAGGCAAAACUGAUCUGCUGUGAUGGGAGUCACGCUAGUGUGUUGUGUUUGAGGGGAAAGAGGCAGUGAUGGGGAGGGAAUAUGAGAGGGGCUGCUGGGUGAAGGUCAUAUGGUCUGCCCGCUACAUGUGAACUUUCAAAAAUGCCUGCAUCUGGUUCCAGCAAGGAACCAGAACCUGUGCCAUCAACAUCAGGCGUGAGUGAAACUGCAGCUUGCCCUCUGUCUCCUGUUGCUGACGAUCCUUCAGAUCUACCACCUCCCACCUCUCCUCCCGCCUGCCGUCGGUAACUCUUCUCGCCUGUUCACUCGAUGCCAGCCCUUGGAUGCCAGCUGUUAUGCUCUACCACUGUACUUCUCUAGGUGUCCAAACAGAAUCUAGAGCCUGUUACCCAUCAUCACCUGGGAGCUUAUCAGAAAUGCACUCGCAAAGUACCACCACUUUAGAAACAGUUCAGAAGUCCCUCGAAAUGUGGAAGUUAACAUAUGACCAAGAUGGACUGUACAACGCUGUGCCCAGUUAACAAUGCUGUAUGGUGCACUUGAAGAUCUACACGGCUAGGUGUCGCCGUGUCGCUCUAAUUUCUUAAAAAGGUAUCAUGACCCAGAAAUUCCAGUCCUAGUUAUUUUAACAGAAAUGAAGACACGUCUUAACUGAGAUGAAAAUGUGUCCACAAAAUCUUGCACACAAAAUGUUCACAGCAUUAUUCAUAAGCCAAAAGGCAUAUAAGGUAUAAACGACCCAAAUGUUCCAUCAACUGAUGAAUACAUAAACAAAAUGUGGCAUGUCCAUACAAUGGAAUAUUAUUUGGCCAUAAAAAGAAAUUAAGUACUUGAUAUUUUACAACAUGAAUGAAUCCUAAAAAUAUCCUAAGAAGCCAGUUAUAGAAUUGCACAUAAUGUAUGAAUCCAUUUAUAUGAACUAUCCAUAAAAGGCACGUCCAUAGAGACAGAAAGUAGAUUAGUGGCUGCUGGAGAUUUCAGGGUGGAACUUGGGUGGAGGUGAUGAAUGGGAAUAAUUGUGAAUGGACAUACGGCUUCUUUCUUGGCAUGACGAAAAAUGUCCUGAAUGAAAGACAGUGGUGAUAGUUGCACGACUGUUACGCUAAAAACAAACCCACCAACCCACUGGAUCGUACACUUUUAAGGAUAUAA
rnacentral:lncRNA from 1 species